rnacentral:rRNA from 1 species
GACGAACGCUGGCGGCGUGCUUAACACAUGCAAGUCGAGCGGAAAGGCCCUUCGGGUACUCGAGCGGCGAACGGGUGAGUAACACGUGAGUAACCUGCCCUGGACUUUGGGUUAACCCUCGGAAACGGGGGCUAAUACCGAAUACGACUUCUGCCCGCAUGGGUGGUGGUGGAAAGUUUUUCGGUCUGGGAUGGCUCGCGGCCUAUCAGCUUGUUGGUGGGGUGAUGGCCUACCAAGGCGACGACGGGUAGCCGGCCNGAGAGGGCGACCGGCCACACUGGGACUGAGACACGGCCCAGACUCCUACGGGAGGCAGCAGUGGGGAAUAUUGCACAAUGGGGCGGAAGCCUGAUGCAGCGACGCCG